rnacentral:rRNA from 1 species
ACGGGUGCGUAACGCGUAUGCAACCUACCUAUCACUGGGGGAUAGCCCGGGGAAACCCGGAUUAAUACCGCAUAAAACAGGGGCACCGCAUGGUGAUAUUUGUUAAAGAUUUAUUGGUGAUAGAUGGGCAUGCGUUCGAUUAGCUAGUUGGCGGGGUAACGGCCCACCAAGGCGACGAUCGAUAGGGGAGCUGAGAGGUUGAUCCCCCACACGGGCACUGAGAUACGGGCCCGACUCCUACGGGAGGCAGCAGUAGGGAAUAUUGGGCAAUGGAUGCAAGUCUGACCCAGCCAUGCCGCGUGCCGGAUGAAGGCCCUCAGGGUUGUAAACGGCUUUUAUUCGGGAAGAAGAGCAGGGAUGCGUCCUUGUGUGACGGUACCGAAUGAAUAAGCACCGGCUAACUCCGUGCCAGCAGCCGCGGUAAUACGGAGGGUGCGAGCGUUGUCCGGAUUUAUUGGGUUUAAAGGGUGCGUAGGUGGCUGUUUAAGUCAGUGGUGAAAUACGGUUGCUCAACAAUCGAGGUGCCAUUGAUACUGAAUAGCUUGAAAUAAUUGGAGGCUGCCGGAAUGAAUGGUGUAGCGGUGAAAUGCAUAGA